rnacentral:rRNA from 1 species
UACAGGGGGUGCAAACGUUGCCCGGAAUCAUUGGGCGUAAAGCGCACGUAGGCGGUUUGUUAUGUCGGAUGUGAAAGCCCUUGGCUCAACUGAGGAAGUGCAUCCGAAACUGGCAAGCUAGAGUACUAAAGAGGGUCGCGGAAUUCCCGGUGUAGAGGUGAAAUUCGUAGAUAUCGGGAGGAACACCGGUGGCGAAGGCGGCGACCUGGGUAGAUACUGACGCUGAGGUGCGAAAGCGUGGGGAGCAAACAGG